GCGGGUAUAGAUUAAAGGCUAAAUUAUCUGCCUUCCAAGCAGAAGAUGUGAGUUCGAGUCUCACUAUCCGCA
rnacentral:tRNA from 1 species